rnacentral:tRNA from 1 species
AGGGAUGUUGCUCACUGGGAGAGCACUUGCCUAACAGGUGUGAGACCCUGGGUUCAAUCCCCACUAUCCUUC